GGAGAUCGGGGUCGGAGGAUUGGAAGGUUUCGUAGAGCCACUGGCAGAGGGGAUCGGAGCCGGAGCCAGAGCGGGGGCAGGAGAGGGAGGAGGAAAGGGCAUCGUAAGCGUCAGGGGAUUGGAGGAGGGAGCGGGCGGGGCGGUCAGAGUCAGCGAGGGAGGAGAGGGAGAGGGAGAGGGAUGGAGAAGGGAGGAUGGUGGAGAGAACGUGGAUGCGAGAGCGGGCUUUGGAGAUGGACUCCCACCAUGAGUGCAUGGGGUCUUGGUCGUUGGGGUUGGAGUUCGCAUUUGGGUCAACGGAGGAGGAAGAAGACGGUGACCCUGAUGCCUGCUUCACCUGGAACUCCAUGCCCGC
rnacentral:lncRNA from 1 species